UCUUCCGUAGUAUAGUGGUUAGUAUAUGAGCUUGUCAUCCUCGACAAUACGCUCGGGACCCGGGUUCAAUUCCCGGCGGGAGAG